UGGUUUCAAACUUACAAGACCAAGCGCUGAUAUUGCUGUCUACCAGACACUUCCACAUCCUAACGAGAAACGCAACCCUGAACGGGAUGAUCUAUUGGAAAAGUCUGAGGAAUAUUCAAAAUUCAGUGGUUUAAAUUCGUUGGAAUACCAGAUAAAAUAUUUCAAAAUCAAACCAACUCACGUACAUAUCUUUAUUGAACAUGAUAUUGCAAUGAAGGCUAGUCAAACAUGAAUUUUAUUUUUAAAAAUAUCUGCAAAAUAUUUGGUUUUUUAAACCCAACAAAACGCAGCAAGCAAAAUUGCGGCAUCCGUCCACAAAUAAGAAAUGACAAAAACAUUUAUUUUCAAUAUAUACAUAUGUAUAAAUAAUCGACAGAAUUGAAACCAAUCGACAGACUACUAAGCAAUAGUCUUCACAAUCAGUCUGAGCGAAUAGGCUGCAAACGAUGGAAGAAAACGUUGAAAUAAAUGACGGCUGCGAUCAUCUGUAUUUUGGUUCCACAGGCUGUUUGCAUAUGUAGAAACAACUAAUUACGAAAUACCAACACAGCGAAUUUCAAUACUGAAGGAAGAAAGCUCGAACAAUUGCCAUGAAUUAGAAGCUUGUCCACCAACUCCACCUAAUCAUCUUGGCAGAUUCUCCAUCGAUUUUGAAAAAGAGUCUCUCUACAUCGUCGAGUCGCGUCUGAGCCUUUCAUUGCAGCCAGGUGGUUGGUUCGCACCAAAAGAAUGCAAGGCAAACGAUCGUGUUGCUAUAGUUGUGCCGAAGCGUGGACGAGAUCAAAUGCUGCCAAUCCUGCUGAAAAACCUCCAUCCAAUGCUGAUGAAACAACAGAUUGAAUAUGGAAUCUACGUCGUAGAACAACCCACCGACCAAGACUUCAAUAGAGGAGCUCUAUUUAAUAUUGCUUUCAAAGAGGCACUAAAGAUGAAAGAAUGGGAUUGCUUCAUUUUUCAUGACAUCGAUUUGAUUCCGUUCGAUGAUCGAAAUCUUUAUAACUGUCCAUCGAAUGAAGGUCCACGAUACAUGCCUAUUGGCAUUAAUAUAUGGGAUUUCAUACCUAGGGAUGGAAACCAAUGCGGUGGUAUUAUUGCGUUUACAACGGAGCAAUAUCAAACAAUAAACGGAUUUUCGAAUCUAUUUUGGAACUGGGGUGGUGAAGAUGACGACCUGUGUGAAAGAUGUGAUUUUGCAGGCUUUAAUGUUACAAGGCGUAGCGUUGAUUUUGCCGUCUACCAGAUGCUUCAGCAUCCUCAGGAGGUAUUCAAUCCUAACCGGUUUGACAUAUUGGGACAGGCUGCUAAAUACAACAACGUCAGUGGUUUAAAUUCGAUAAAAUACCAUAUACAGGAAUUUAAAAUCAAACCAACGCACGUUCACAUUUUUGUCGAUCCUUCUAUUGUAAAGGAGGAACUCGCCAAGAUGUAUGGAUAACUUCAGUCUCAUGUUGAAAAAAGUGAAGCCAAGAUUAAAAGUCAAAACCUCUAACAUAUAUGAUGGAAACAAAAAUAUAUAAACCUUUUUUUAUUACAAUUAA